UUAGGGGUGUGCAAAUAAUAAGGUUAACCAUACCCAAAUUACUAACCAAACCAUUUCCUUUUUUUAAAAGCCCAGCCCAUUUUAUAAAAAAACCAACCCAGACCAUAAAACAUAAAAAUGGUAAACCGGUUUACCAUUUCACUUAGUUGGUUUAGAACCGGUUUAUUCUUCUCAAAAUUAAUUUCAAAAGCGAGAAACCAAAUAACACAGUCAGAAACCAAAUCACAAAAUCACAGUUUCAUCAAUCAUCGCAAAUCCUCCUCCUCCGUCAAACCCACUCCCACCGGCGAAUCCUCCUCCGUCAAACCCACUCCCACCGGCGAAUCCAUCUCGUCCUCCGUCGCACAACCACUCACCAUCGACGACAAUCCAAUCAGCUUAAAUCGCAAAAUCAGCUUAAUCGAGGAAGAAGGGGAUUUAGAUGUCCUAAUUUGGUGGAAGGAUAAUUGUACUCGAUAUCCAGUCCUUGCAAGAAUUGCAAGAGAAGUGUUGGCUAUACCAGUCUCUACGGUUGCCUCUGAAUCUGCCUUUAGUACCGGAGGGAGAGUGCUUGAUGCAUAUAGGAGUUCACUGUCAGCAAUAACAGUGGAACCAUUGAUUUGCACACAAGAUUGGGUUAAAAAAAAAGAUCAUGGCAUUGAGACAUCAUCUUUGGUUUCAUAUGAUGAUCUUAACACUCUACAGCAACUUGAGCAAGGUAAGAUUAAAAGAUAUCUUCUUUUUACUUACUAUAGUAAAUCUAUCUUUGAUUCUUUGUUUUAGCUGUUUUCUUGUAGCUGGUGCGGGUGUUGACUAGCCCUCGUGCUUGGUUGGCUAGAAGUAAUUGAUCAAUCUUGCUGGUGGGGUUUUUUUAUUUUGGCUUCAUCCUCUUGCGCCUCAAGUUUGCGUUGGAUGGUGUUCUCUCCAGCUUAGCCAGAAGCAUUUGGGUUGCUUUGUUUGGUUUUUUAACUUUGGUUUAGUUACUUUGUUUGACUGUUUCUUCAUUUUAGUUUGUCAAUUAGUUUUCUCUAGUUUGUAAUUUUUCUUCACUUCUUGCUGCGUGGUGGUGUUGUCUGAGUUAAUUCUUAGCUUGCGAAGUUAGCCAUGAUCUUGUAGAUGUAUAUGUCAGGAGCAAAUAUACAUCUAAGAGGCAUCCUAUAUUGACAAGUUGCACAUGAGGCAUAGUAAUAAUGAAUUCCUUUUUGUGUUUUGCAGAUUUUUUAUCAAAUCUUGGUAGUUCUUCGGCUUCUACGAGGCUCGAUGACGAUUGAAGGUGCUUGGGUUGGAAGUAUGAAAGAGCCUAUGAAGAAACUGAGAAAUGCAAAGAAGGAUAUUAAAUUGCUUGGAUCUCAUUAUUGUUUGAUAUAACAUGUGUAAUGACUAAUGAGUUACAACUUAGGUAUUUGAGAGUUUGAGCUCUUUGUGGUUGGAUCUCAUUAUUAUUUGAUUUGAUAUUAGAACAUGCAGAGUUUGUUCUCAGUUGAAUUGUACUGGCAUUUGUCUUUGGAAGUGAUGAAAUUGUGAACAAGUACUUCUUCUUUGUUAAAUUUCACAUCAUUCUUCUUACUUCUUCUUUA